CUAGAAUUAGGUGGAAAUAUCUAGAGAGGAUUCCUGUAAGCGUUUACUCUAACUGGUAGUCAUAUACUGGUUCUUCCCCCUCAUGCAACAACUAUAAGAGGUGGGUCCACAGUUAUAGACACCCAUUACUCUAUUUUGAAAUUUGCACAAUACACUGGAGCUCAUCCAAUUGCAGGGCGGCACACACCAGGAACCUUCAGGUUCUAUUAUGAAUACAGGAUACAUUUUGAAAAGGAUAAAGCAUUAGCUCGACGAUUCCAGCCUGUGUUGAUAAACGAGCCUAGCCAGGAGGCAGCCAUGAUAUGAUUGGAUAUGAGGUUGUUGUAUUCCGUCCCCUUGAGAAGACAUAGGUUAUGGACCUAGACAGAUGAUGGUUGGAUGGAGGGAUUUCUUUUAUAUGUAUUUAGAAUAUUUUUAACACAUUAUUGUA